UCCCUACUAAUAAAGCACGGAGUGCUUCUAGUCGUACGUCGUCGUCACUUUUGCAAAAAAGCCCCUCUAUUUUCAAGAAUUCAACCCGCAGUCCCUUUUUAAGUUGCUAUCUCAGAAAACGUUUCGUUAUUACAAAAAGAACCCUGCCGUUUUGAGAAUUCAACCCGCGGUCCCCCUGGAAAGAAAAAAAAACCUAGCCACACGAACGACCCAUGAACCCCAAUCUCAUCCACCUCCAGCGCCGCCACGCCCUGCAACGCCGCCGCGCGCCGCCGAACUCCGCCCCGUCGUCGCCCCGCCGGAAUCCGCCGGAACUCGACCCGCCGUCGCGCCGCCGCUCAAGCCCAGCUUCUGGAUCGGGUCAACGCGGUGGCUCGAGCGGCUGGGGGCGGCGCGGUGGCUCGAGCGAACCAGACCGCUCUGCCUCCCGCAGCUCCAUCCUGCCCGAGCUCCCCUCGCCCCCGCAAGCCGCCUCGCCGGCGACCCCACACCUCCGCCGCGCCUCACCGCCGGAGCUCCGGCCGCUCCGCCGCCUCGCCCCUCUCCUCCUUCCUCUCGAUCUCCUCUCACCUAUUUCUCUCUUUCUCGCUGAACAGGGACCUCCAGAAGGGCCAUGGCGCCACCAGCCCUUAAUCUCGCCGGAUCCGGCCGCCUGCACGCCAAAUCCGCCGGAAAUGGAUCCGUCCCGUCCAGAUCCGGCCGGAUCCGACCGGGCCCCGCCAUCCUCGUCACUGGAGCACCGCCCCGCUCGACCAACAGCGUCGGCGCUGUCUGUCCCUGCCCGCGUCUGCACGAGGACGACGCUCGUCCCGCUCGCUUGCAGCAAUCGCAUGGGCCGCCGCCCCAGCCGUCCCGGCAUCAAGCCAAGGCCCAGCCCAAGCCACAUCUUCUGCCGCUCCAUCAUUGCCCACCUUGAGAUCAGCCCCGACGCCACCACCAUCUUCAGAUGCUAUCGCUUUCAUGUUUUACUAAGAUCUGUGCGGAAACAACAUGAGCCUUUGCUGCUUGGUCUGGGAUGGUGAAGUGGUGGUUGCAGUGGAAAUCGUUAAAGGGGGCACCGGUGUCCUCAGUUAUACGGUUACAGAAUAUAUGGAGUCAUGCCCAACGUUGCAAGGGAGCCUGUAGUGGGAGGCGACAAAGUAUUGGCUGUUACCAUAGUAUCCAUAAUGAGUUGUGUCAACACCAACCUCAGAGCUGGAAUAAGGAGUGCGCAUUCGCAUUGAUGAAACAACUUUCCCAUAGCCCGCUGCUACUGCCCACUACCACAAUCUUGCAUAGAUACUUCAGUCUGUUGGAUAAUUAUUGGAGAUGAUGCACUCUGAUGGACAGAUAUAGAAACCCAUUGUUAUUUUCAGGGAAAUUUGUGGUGAUUCGUAAUCAAACUUGCAAAGAACAUCCUUCUGAUUAUGUUUGAAGAGGUACGAUGGAUGGUUGAGCUGAGACCACUGUUUGAUAUUUGUUUGCCUUUGCUUUGUAACCAGUGAGGGCUGAAGUGAAUGAAUCUGGAAGUGCUUUAGUGAUUAAUGCUCUGUCCCAAGUUAAGCAUAUUCUACUUCCGGUCACUGGCCGCAAGCCUUACCUUUCAGUUCUAAUUCCUUGAGAUCACCACAGUUGUGAAUAUAGCCAUUGUUUCAACAGAACAAACCUAAGCUUAGCAUGAAAGAGAGUAUGAAAGUUCUGAUCUCUUCAAAAUAUGUGAGGGGCCUUGCUACCUUAGUUGUUGCAUAUGGCAUUAUAAUCAAUUUUGUGUAAGUCACAUGGAAAUCGAAGCUCAAGGCACAGUUCCCCAGUCCAAACGAGCACUCAUCUUUCAUGGGUGAUUUCUCUACCGCAACUGGACUUGCAACUUUCAUGAUGAUGCUGUUAGGCUGGAUUACAUUCCAAAGAUUUGGUUGGGGGGUGGCUUCCAUUAUCACCCCCAUAGUUUUGUGGUGACUGGCGUUGGUUUCUUUUCUGACUUUCAACAAGUGCAGUUCAUUGCCGCAGAGCAGUCUUAGAAGAUCCGUGCACAUGUAGCCUUAUUUCUUAUUCCAAAUUUCAUCAUACAAAAAAAAAAUACUCAGUGUAACCUCAUUUCUGAUGUUUGC